GAGCACUGUGCAGUGACAUCCCCACUGCUCCUCACCAGCAUCAUCCUUGUGGGUUCCCUCUUUGGUCCUUCACAGUAGAAAUCUAGGACUUACUGGAUCCUCUAGAAACCCCAGCCCGUCUCAUCACCAGGAGCGCGCUGUUCAACGGUGGCUGUGCUGCAUUGCUAGUCGGAUGACCUGGCCUUAAACCCUACGGCCCUACUGAAGCACAAAGAGCAAGAGAUUCGCACUGUUGGAAGAAAAGGACUUCUUUCUAAGAAACUACAUCUUCUACGGGAACUCAUUGAACACCACUGCUUAACGCUUAGUUGGUUCCUUCCAAGACUCCAUGGCAUCAAGGACUAACUAACUGAGACCUGGGAAACCAGAGGGAAAGAAGGAUACCAAAGUUGAGAUGCUUCAGUGAUGUUUCAGAUGUGAAAUUGUUUAGUUUUCUUGGGGAGGAAAAGCACUCGUGAGUGAAGGUGCCCUACCUGAGAAGCUGUGGGAAGUAGAGACCCAUCCAACCUCACAGAACUCCCAGGCUGGAUUUUAUAGACACUGCUUCGGCAACAAUGAAAAUGGAGCAGAUCGUGGGAAGGUUUGCAAAGUUGCAGGAUGAGAGACAGGACACACACCUGUCAGCUCACUUGGUACCCAGAAGCAAGAGCUCAAACCUGUAAUGUAAUGGAUCUGAACACCCGAGUACAUGAACAAUUCAGCAAGGGAACUUCAAAUUUUUCAGGAACUAUACAUUCCAGAACUUCUUCCAACCUGGCACACUGGCUUUGUGGAAUUAGAAUUCUAAUGCUGUGAACGCAGAGCUCAGAGAGAUCAAGGGUCUGGAUAUCAGGCACAGCCAGAAGUUUGUGGAUUUAGACGCCUGAAAUAUUCACCCUAACUUUCAAUCCAUGAUUUUCUUUGAGCAUUCAUUCAAAUCUGAUGCUGAAACCAAUGUAAGUUGGUGGGAACAAGGCCAACUCUGAAGCGUGCUUACAGUGACAAUGAAACCCUUAAAGCCGACAAAAGAACAAAAGACUCAGCGUACCACGGCAAAAUGCUAAAAGCUAUGGUGUUUAGGGCAGAAGGAAGCCAUGUUUCUAUUCUUCCUGACACCGAAACAUCCUUUACAAGACUAACUACAAGACGCUGUGGAUUACCAUUUUCAGUCGCACAAAGCAAGCAAUUCCUAUAAAGACACAGCAGCUUCUUGCCAUAUUGGAAAAGAAGCCCCCACCCCUCAACCUCUGGAAGCCAUGCCUUUCACCGUCUGACUCUCUCACUGGUGACCUGGCUACUGAGCUGGUGUUUAGGAUGCCAUCAACCCUCUGUGGAUAAUAUGACAAGGUGGCAAAAUGAACAACCUCAAAAUCUCAACUUCCAUUUGAAUUUUGCCCUAAAGAGAAAAAUUUCGA